rnacentral:rRNA from 1 species
CCUACGGGCGGCAGCAGUGAGGAAUAUUGGUCAAUGGACGAGAGUCUGAACCAGCCAAGUAGCGUGAAGGAUGACUGCCCUAUGGGUUGUAAACUUCUUUUAUAUGGGAAUAAAAUGUUUCACGUGUGGGAUUAUGUAUGUACCAUAUGAAUAAGGAUCGGCUAACUCCGUGCCAGCAGCCGCGGUAAUAUGGAGGAUCCGAGGGUUAUCCGGAUUUAUUGGGUUUAAAGGGAGCGUAGGUGGAUUGUUAAGUUAGUUGUGAAAGUUUGGGGCUCAACCGUAAAAUUGCAGUUGAAACUGGCAGUCUUGAGUACAGUAGAGGGGGGCAGAAUUCGUGGUGUAGCGGUGAAAUGCUUAGAGAUCUCGAAGAACUCCGAUUGCGAAGGCGGCUCACUGGACUGCGACUGACACUGAGGCGCGAAAGUGUGGGUAUCAAACAGGAUUAGAUACCCUGGUAGUC